UACGAAGGGGGCUAGCGUUGUUCGGAAUUACUGGGCGUAAAGCGCACGUAGGCGGACAUUUAAGUCAGGGGUGAAAUCCCGGGGCUCAACCCCGGAACUGCCUUUGAUACUGGGUGUCUAGAGUAUGGAAGAGGUGAGUGGAAUUCCGAGUGUAGAGGUGAAAUUCGUAGAUAUUCGGAGGAACACCAGUGGCGAAGGCGGCUCACUGGUCCAUUACUGACGCUGGGGUGCGAAAGCAUGGGGAGCGAACAGG
rnacentral:rRNA from 1 species